rnacentral:rRNA from 1 species
GUGAGUAACACGUGGGUGAUCUGCCCUGCACUCUGGGAUAAGCCUGGGAAACUGGGUCUAAUACCGGAUAGGACCAUGCUUUAGUGUGUGUGGUGGAAAGUUUUUUCGGUGUAGGAUGAGCCCGCGGCCUAUCAGCUUGUUGGUGGGGUAAUGGCCUACCAAGGCGGCGACGGGUAGCCGGACUGAGAGGUUGGUCGGCCACAUUGGGACUGAGAUACGGCCCAG